GGUCCGCUGGCUCAAUGGCAGAGCGUCUGACUACGAAAUUCGAUCUUCUCCGGCUGAAUUAGUUAUCAGGAGGUUCCAGGUUCGACCCCUGGGUGGAUCG